rnacentral:rRNA from 1 species
AUGAACGCUGGCGGCGUGCCUAAUACAUGCAAGUCGAGCGAACAGACGAGGAGCUUGCUCCUCUGACGUUAGCGGCGGACGGGUGAGUAACACGUGGAUAACCUACCUAUAAGACUGGGAUAACUUCGGGAAACCGGAGCUAAUACCGGAUAAUAUAUUGAACCGCAUGGUUCAAUAGUGAAAGACGGUUUUGCUGUCACUAAUAGAUGGAUCCGCGCCGCAUUAGCUAGUUGGUAAGGUAACGGCUUACCAAGGCAACGAUGCGUAGCCGACCUGAGAGGGUGAUCGGCCACACUGGAACUGAGACACGGUCCAGACUCCUACGGGAGGCAGCAGUAGGGAAUCUUCCGCAAUGGGCGAAAGCUUGACGGAGCAACGCCGCGUGAGUGAUGAAGGUCUUCGGAUCGUAAAACUCUGUUAUUAGGGAAGAACAAAUGUGUAAGUAACUAUGCACGUCUUGACGGUACCUAAUCAGAAAGCCACGGCUAACUACGUG